rnacentral:rRNA from 1 species
AGAGUUUGAUUUUGGUUUAGAACGAACGCUGGCGGCGUGGAUUAGGCAUGCAAGUCGAACGUGAAACCAUCGAGUUUAAUUUUUGGAUGAAAAUAUGGUGGUGGAAAGUGGUGUAAGGGUGAGUAAUACGUGGGCAACGUAUCUUCAUGCUGGGAAUAACUCCUCGAAAGGGGAGCUAAUACCGAAUGUGGUCACGCAUUGUAUGAUGUGUGGCUAAAGGCGGGGAUUUUUGGAUUUGCCGCAUGGAGAUCGGCCCGCGCCCUAUUAGUUUGUUGGUGAGGUAAUGGCUCACCAAGGUGAUGAUGGGUAGUUGACCUGAGAGGGUGACCGGCCACACUGGGAUUGAGAUAUUGUUUAGAUUCCUACGGGAGGCUGCAGUCGAGAAUCGUUCGCAAUGGGCGAAAGCCUGAUGAUGCAACGCCGCGUGUGUGAAGAAGGCCUUCGGGUUGUAAAACACUUUGGGCAGGGAAGAAUGUAUGUCCAUUAAUAGUGGAUCAUGUUUGAUGGUACCUGCAGAACAAGCCCCGGUUAAAUUUGUGUUAGUAGUUGUGGUAAUAUGAAUGGGGCAAGCGUUGUUCGGAUUUAUUGGGUGUAAAGGGGGUCUAGGUGGUAUGUUAAGUCUUUUGUGAAAACCCGGAGUUUAACUCCGAGGAUUGCAGGGGAUACUGACAUAUUUGAGAGUGUGAGGCGCGUGUGGAAUACUGGGUGUAGUGGUGAAAUGUGUAGAUAUCCAGUAGAAUAUUAGUGGUGAAAGUGGUUCGCGUGCACACAUCUGACACUGAAGCCCGAAAGCGUGGGGAGUGAAUAGGAUUAGAUAUCCUGGUAGUCCACGCUGUAAACGAUGUGUACUAGAUGUAGGAGGUAUCGACCUUUUUUGUGUCGUAGCUAACGCGUUAAGUACACCGCCUGGGGAGUACUAUCGCAAGGUAGAAACUCAAAGGAAUUGACGGGGGCCCGCACAAGCGGUGGAGCAUGUUCAUUAAUAUGAAGCAAUGUGUAGAAUUUUACCAGGGCUUGACAUGUAGCUGCAAAUCCAGUGAAAGCUGGACUUCUUCGAGAGUGCUACACAGGUGUUGCAUGGCUGUCGUCAGCUCGUGCCGUGAGGUGUUGGGUUAAGUCCCGCAACGAGCGCAACCCUUGUCGUUAGUUGCCAGCGGUUCGGCCGGGCACUCUAGCGAGACUGCCGGUGAUAAACCGGAGGAAGGUGGGGAUGACGUCAAGUCAGUACGGCCCUUACGCCCUGGGCUUGAAACGUGCUACAAUGGUCGGUACAAUGGGUCGCCAACCCGCGAGGGGGAGCUAAUUUUAAAAAGCCGGCCUCAGUUCGGAUUGGAGUCUGCAAUUCGACUCCAUGAAGUUGGAAUCGCUAGUAAUGGCGCAUCAGCAAUGGCGCCGUGAAUACGUUCCCGGGUCUUGUAUAUAUUGCCCGUCACAUCAUGAAAGUUGGUUACACCCGAAGUCGAUGAUCCAAUCUCCGGUUUGCCGGAGAAGGAAGUUGUCGAAGGUGUGACUGGUAAUUGGGAUGAAGUUGAAAUAAGG